UACGGGGGGGGCAAGCGUUGUUCGGAAUUACUGGGCGUAAAGGGCUCGUAGGUGGCCAACUAAGUCGGACGUGAAAUCCCUCGGCUUAACCGGGGAACUGCAUCCGAUACUGAAAGGCUUGAAUCCGGGAGAGGGAUGUGGAAUUCCAGGUGUAGCGGUGAAAUGCGUAGAUAUCUGGAGGAACACCGGUGGCGAAGGCGGCUCACUGGACUGGUAUUGACGCUGAGGUGCGAAAGCGUGGGGAGCAAACAGG
rnacentral:rRNA from 1 species